rnacentral:rRNA from 1 species
GACGAACGCUGGCGGCGUGCCUAACACAUGCAAGUCGAGCGGGACAUAGCAAUAUGUCCAGCGGCGGACGGGUGAGUAACACGUGAGGAACCUGCCCUUCAGUGGGGAACAACACCGGGAAACCGGUGCUAAUACCGCAUGACGUCCCUGGGAGACAUCUUCGGGGGACCAAAGGAGAAAUCCGCUGAGGGAUGGCCUCGCGUCCGAUUAGCUAGUUGGCGGGGUAACGGCCCACCAAGGCUUCGAUCGGUAGCCGAACUGAGAGGUUGAUCGGCCACAUUGGGACUGAGACACGGCCCAGACUCCUACGGGAGGCUG